ACACCGGUGGUGAAACGGUAUCAUGCUUGCCUUCCAUCAAUAUUGUCGGUAGCAAGCGGCACGGGUUCGACUCCCGUUCGGUGUA